rnacentral:rRNA from 1 species
AUGGCCCCCGAGUCGCCUCGGAGGAGACGACGCGGGGGAGGGGUUUACGAGACAUACGCCGAACUUGGAAAAGAAAUGUGCAAAUUUCUCGCACUAUUCCCCACCUCUCCCCACUCUCCCCGAUUCCCAGCCGCCACCAUCCCCGCCGCCGCACGCCUCCCCCUAAUCCCAACGGCCAGCGAGCAUCCCCCUAAUCCCAACGGCCGGCGAGCCUCCCGCUUCCUCCCUCGGCCAGCGCGCCUCCCCACGGCGUUGGAUCCCGAGCGCCGCCGGCGGGCCCUGGAUCCCACGCGCCGCCUCCUGUCCAUGGAUCCCGCGCACUGCCGUCGCCUCCCAAGGCCACAACGCGCCACCUGGCGGCCCCCGCUGGAGACCCCCUGCCUCCUUCCUCCCAGCGUCGGCCGGGUGGUGCAUCACCUGAGCGCCGUCGAGCACAGCCGGAGAUCCCCCCUGCCUCCUUCCUCCCUGGACUCACGUCCACAGCCACUCCACCGCCCCCAGCACGGGCGCGCGGGAUCCAGCGGCGGCGAGCCUCUGAUGGGAGGUUUCAGACGUAUUUGCAGGUGCAAAAAAGUUGGAUGUGGUAAUAUGUUGGUUCAGUUUCACAGAGCCUUGUGUUUCAGUCACCACCAUCAACGAACCAGCUCGUCCUAUUUUGCGGAUGCAAGGCACACGAUAGUUUUUAGCCGGAAUGCAUUUCAGAGAAGUGUGAGAAUUGGCUGUGGUGAUGUUAUAGAUGCCUUUGCAUUUUCUUACCUGGACAAAAAUGAGAAUCUGCAUGAGCCACCUCUUUUGGGUGGUGUUGGUGGGACCAUCCACAGGAUUGUACUAGAACCCUCGGAGUUUGUGAUUGAAAUUUCAGGGACUUUUGGUCCAUAUGGUCAAUUUCCGAGCAUCAUAAAGUCACUUAUGCUUGUGACCAACUUACGUACCUAUGGGCCUUUUGGGCAGCUACAUGGAACUCCUUUCCACUCUCGAGUGAAGAAAAACGGCAGUAUUAUUGGCUUCUUUGGGUGCUCAGGGGAAUUUCUAGAUGCAAUUGGUGUUUACAUUCAUCCUUAG